GCAUCUGUGGCCGAGUGGUCGAAGGCAGCGGACUCAUAAUCCGUUUUCAUUACUGAACGUCACUGGUUCGAACCCAGUCGGAUGCA
rnacentral:tRNA from 1 species